CCCGCCACAAAGGGGGGACAACCCUCCGUAUUUUUAUGUGGCAUCUUCUGAGUGACAAGCAAAAAUAAGUCAAAACUUUCAACAACGGAUCUCUUGGUUCUGGCAUCGAUGAAGAACGCAGCGAAAUGCGAUAAGUAAUGUGAAUUGCAGAAUUCAGUGAAUCAUCGAAUCUUUGAACGCACAUUGCGCCCGCCAGUAUUCUGGCGGGCAUGCCUGUUCGAGCGUCAUUUCAACCCUCAAGCCCCCCCGCGGCUUGGUGUUGGGGAUCGGCCCGCCCCUGGCGGCGCGCCGGCCCCGAAAUACAGUGGCGGUCUCGCCGUAGCUUACCUAUGCGUAGUAGCACACCUCGCACCGGGACGCGGCGGGGCCACGCCGUAAAAGGACCCCCCACUUUGAAAGGUGACCUCGGAUCAGGUAGGAAUCCAGUC
rnacentral:rRNA from 1 species